rnacentral:lncRNA from 1 species
UCUCUCUUCUCUCCACAAGGUGAGUGUGUUUUUCUUUUUCUAGAUUCUCCUUCUCGUCUCUCUCUCUGUUUCGUUUUUUCUCUGCAGUGAGGAUGGCACACAACAUUCCAAUGGGCGGAGCGAUCCAGCUCAAGCGAGACUUGGAGGAACUUCUCCACGGCACUGAGGCCGCUUUCAUCCCCACCCUCCGCCAGCUCGACCUCGCCGCCAACACGGGUGGAGGCCCGCUAUGCCGUGACCCGUCGAGCUCCAUUUUAUCGAGCACGAAAACUCGCUUCUCC